rnacentral:lncRNA from 12 species
CCUCCUCCUCUUCCUAGACUUUUUGCCCUUGUGGCUGGAGGGGAAACCCAAACUCCAAAAUCAAGUCUGGCUGCUUGCUCAUUUCUCGGACCCAGGGCAAAAUCGUCUCCAAGUACUGCUGUGGAUCCUUGGAAAGGCACUUUCUGUGCAGAGUAUUACUGGCACUUUCCAUGGGGGCACUUCCACCGCAGGAGUCUGAUUUUCGGAGGAUGCUGCGUGAGGGAUGGAUGGAAAGCGGCCGCGGGCAGACGGAGAGCAGGCGCGGACCUGCGGCGCCUCCCAGCCACCCUCCCUCGGGAUCAGCCGCCCGGGGCGCUGCUCGGGAGCCCCCAGCCCGCGCCCCCCCGCGCGCACAGCGCCCCCCGCCCCCAGCCCCACCCCCCCGCGCUGGGCGGCCGCGGCCCCGGGACCUCCACCCGGGACGGGCGCGGAAGCCACCCCGGACGCUGGCGUCUCUGCAGGUGCUUCCUUCACGUCCUGGUCUUUUCCCUUCUUCCCCGAGCGGCUCUCGGCCUGACUUAUCCGAAGGGGAAACGGCGUGGGGGGGAAGCGGUGCAGAGCGACUCGGAGGCGACCCGGCCGCCUCUGCCAGGAGGGCGCGCGCUGAGCGUCCGCCCCGGGUCCCCGACGCCGGCCCCUUUAAGAAGCCAAGUCGCUGCUGCCGCGGCCGCCGCUGCUGCUGUUUGUAUUGCUAAUCCCCUGGAGCCCAGUUUAAAAAAAAAAAAGAGAGAGAGAGAGAGGAGGGGGGCGGGCAGCUGUCUCUUUAAAUGUGAUUUCCUUCUAUUGUAUUUGAAUCGUGAUCAGGAAAAAGGAAAUGAAACCAGAGACAGAGGGAAGCUGAGCGAAAAUAGCGGUUCCCGAGAGAGGAGGGAGCCCGGGGAGAGAGGCUCGGCCCCCGCCCCCCCGCCGGCCGGAGGUGCGCGGGGGUCGGGGCGGCGGGGCGGGCGCGCAGGGCCCCGCGGGCGGGCGGCGCGGAGCCGGGGACGGGGACGGCGCGGCCGAGCGGGACCUGCGGCGGCGGCGGCGGCGGCGGCGGCGGGAGCGCGAUGGAAGGUUAAGUCCCGAGCAGCGGCGCAAAGCAGGCGCCCGGCCGGGCUGCGC